AAAAGAUAGAGAGAGAGAGAGAAGCUACAGAGAGAACAUUUAGAUGAGAGAAGCGAACGGUGAGAAUAUUUAUGAGAUUGAGAAAGAGGCAGAUGGGUUUCUCUUAAUGAUGGUGAUGUACAGUUGUUGUUUCUAGCAGGAAUAUUUAUGAACCAAGACUUUAAUAAAAGAAUUAAACAAAAACAAAACAAAAAACGAAACCCUAGAUUCUGUUGUCACAAAGCUACCGAGAAGAUCGAACAACAAUCGUCUCUCGAGAGGUGGGAUUUUGCUGGAUGGGUUUAAUCAGAUGAGAGGAGAGAUCAAAGUU